rnacentral:rRNA from 1 species
AUUGAACGCUGGCGGCAGGCCUAACACAUGCAAGUCGAGCGGAUAAAGGGAGCUUGCUCCUGGAUUCAGCGGCGGACGGGUGAGUAAUGCCUAGGAAUCUGCCUGGUAGUGGGGGAUAACGUCCGGAAACGGGCGCUAAUACCGCAUACGUCCUGAGGGAGAAAGUGGGGGAUCUUCGGACCUCACGCUAUCAGAUGAGCCUAGGUCGGAUUAGCUAGUUGGUGGGGUAAAGGCCUACCAAGGCGACGAUCCGUAACUGGUCUGAGAGGAUGAUCAGUCACCCUGGAACUGAGACACGGUCCAGACUCCUACGGGAGGCAGCAGUGGGGAAUAUUGGACAAUGGGCGAAAGCCUGAUCCAGCCAGGCCGCGUGUGUGAAGAAGGUCUUCGGAUUGUAAAGCACUUUAAGUUGGGAGGAAGGGCAGUAAGUUAAUACCUUGCUGUUUUGACGUUACCAACAGAAUAAGCACCGGCUAACUUCGUG